ACUCCGCCAAACGAUGCGCAAUAAUUUCAACCAGCCUCCGCGGAGUAAUACCUAACGGUGGUAGGUGAGGUGUGUGUGGGGGGUAGGUUUAAUAUGUAGGCGCCAUGGAUGGCGAAUCGUGCAUGCUACUGGUACGGGCCGGUAGUAUCUAUGAAAAUUCCUACCUCCAGCUCGC
rfam:Glossina brevipalpis unplaced genomic scaffold Scaffold127, whole genome shotgun sequence.